rnacentral:rRNA from 1 species
UACGUAGGGUGCAAGCGUUGUCCGGAAUUAUUGGGCGUAAAGAGCUCGUAGGCGGCCUGUUGCGUCGGCUGUGAAAACCCGGGGCUCAACCCCGGGCCUGCAGUCGAUACGGGCAGGCUAGAGUCCGGUAGGGGAGACUGGAAUUCCUGGUGUAGCGGUGAAAUGCGCAGAUAUCAGGAGGAACACCGGUGGCGAAGGCGGGUCUCUGGGACGUUACUGACGCUGAGACGCGAAAGCGUGGGGAGCAAACAGG